UCCAAAAUAGUUGAAUAAAGUAUAAAUAGAACUAGUUAAGGUGAUUGGAUAGGUGAUCAGGUAUAACUUCAAUUUCUUUUUCUUAAUAAAGUUUGUUUUUAUAUUUUUUUGUUCAAUUUAUUCUAUUAUCAUUUUUUCUAUUUUACCUUUCAUGUUCCAUUCUAUUUAAAUUUAUUUAGUUUUAUUCUAGUCAUUGUUGUCUUAUGUUGUGAUAAGAUUUAUAUUGCUAUGGAUUUAAAGACACUUAGAUCUUAAAGAUAGUCCAAUUCUAUUUCAUUAAUAUCAGAGCAAAUAUUGGUUUCUUCUUUAAUAAUCUAUUGAUAGCUACCAUCUAGUUGGAGGUCACUUGUUGUAGUUACAUCAAGUAUUAUUUUGGAGCUACCACAAGCUACUUUUAAGAAGUCAACUAGAAGAAGAGAAGGCAUUAUAGUAGUAAAAUUUAGUAAGAAAAUUACAUCAUGAAAGAUAUGGCAAAGUAAUCUCAAAUAGAAACUGAAAAAUAACACCUUUUAGGCCAAAUAGUUACUCUACAAGGGCAAAUAGAAGCCUCUAAGAUAAAGAAAUCAACAUGGCUAGGUUGAAAUUACAUAAGUCCAAUAUAUAAUCUACAACUCC
rnacentral:lncRNA from 1 species